rnacentral:tRNA from 1 species
GCCCAAGUGGCGGAAUGGUAGACGCAGGAGAUUCAAAAUCUCCCGCCUUCACGGGCGUGCCGGUUCGAGUCCGGCCUUGGGUA